GAGAGCCAAGAGCAGCACAUUAAAUCAACAAAAAUGUCGUAACUACCUUCAAUUAUAGGAAAACAAACUUCUAAACCUUACCUUCUGUGUCUGUCUAUCAGAAAGAGCACAUCAGAGUCCACAAAAUUGUAGGUUCUGCAAAUGGGAUGAACCAGAUAGGCUAAGACUAAUGGAUGGCCAGAAUACAAAUCCUUGUGUCAGGAUACAAAUCUUCAAACUGAUGGAUUUUUUUUUUUCUUUAUCUGAGGUCGUAGUAGAUCCCAUGCUCGGGGACAAAUCCAGGCUCUUUUUCCACGUCCCAUGUGCUCCAGAACAAUAAUUCAAGACAUAUGUGUUUACCCGCUGGAAAUCCAGAGACCAGCUGUUUCCUCCCUGUGCGACGUGAGUGCUCCUUUCUGUCACACAACUGUAGGACUUGCUGAGGACCAGGACGGAACAAGUGAAGGAUCAGAGCAUAUGUGUUAUUGUUUGCUGUACGUUGCUCUUCCCGGUGUGUUUAUAAGGCUUUGGUCUUCCCAAAGAAAAUAUUUCUAUAUUUUAUGGAAAUAUAACUAGAGGUAUAAUAAGUGCUUUAAAAUACUUGAUAGACUGUAGUCGGAGGUCAAAGAGCGUGAGAGCCCAAAUGCGUAGGUAUUCUCCUGCUCUCUCUGAACUGCCUGGCAGCAAGCAGUGCUGAGACACACUCUUUGAAAUACCAUUGCUAUUGGAUAGAUUUACAUCUAAUUCAUUCUAUACUUUUACUUUCGAACCCUUUGACUUUGUUGUUUCUUAUCACAGAUCUGCAAAUGUAUAUAAAAAAGGAAAACACAAGUUUUUCAGCUGUUGUUGUUGCCAGGGAAGCCUGCAGUGAGAAGCAGAGAUGAGCUAUAUUAGAUUUUUUGUAGAGAAAUUAAUGCAUGGUGGGGAGAGAGGCAAGAGAGGAGACAGGACAUGACCGUUCCUUACUCUGCCAGGGAAAAGGUUUGAAAUAGACAGCAAUUAUCUUCUGAAGAAGCAGCAUGGAUAGGAAAAGCCCAGGACUAUUAGAACCACUUAUUUCUCAAGAGACAUAAUGAUAAUUAGGGCUAGCAGGGCAGUAAUACCACAAAAAUAGCUCUUUCUAUAUACUCUUAUGAACUAUGUUCUUUGCACUGGGCCAAGCCAGCAAGAGAAGAAUCAUAAAGAAACCAAAAGAAAAAAAAUUAACUGAACAUCUUUCCACCAAAAUAAAAGUGGAAGAAGUGAGCAAAUAAGCACGUAUCACUAAGGCCAUGUUUUAACCAGCAUCAGCUCAUCAUUACACGGGACAUCGCUUGUAUCCUGCUUUUUGAAACAGCUGGUGUAAAUCACUCAACUAGCAACUCAUUGAAAUGCAAACAAACAAGAUCAUCUUAUGAGUUGACCUGAUGUAUUACGACAAGAAAUAUUUUGGCUUCUGCAGUCAUCAUCACUUGAGUUUACAAACUGUCAGCUGCUUCCAAGGUGUAAGCUUAUCACCUCCAGAAUAUUAAAGUUCCAGAAAAAGAACGUGUCUAAAAUGUUUGAGCAGAAUAUUUAUAAAAAUGGACUGCUGGCAAAGUUGCUGUUGUUCAUUUUAUGCCACAGAGGUUUAUGGGUGAAAACCUGUCUAGUUUUUUGUGUGUAUAUUAAAUGAGAAAGAUUAGCUAAAUAUCCUUUCUAGAGAUGGAUUAUGUGAACUCUUAAACAUUCUUAGUAUUCAUUUAGAAAAAUAAGUCUGACACGAGAGUGCCAUUAAUAUCACUGGCUAUAUAUACAACAAAAAAAGAGAGAGAUGGAGAGAGAAAAACACGACAAAAAAUCUGGUAUUCAUAAUCACUACAGCAAGGAUAGGAAUUUUACCUUUUCAAGCAUUCACUAAUUCCAUGAGUGUUCAUAUCUCCCUAUGGUGUUGCAUUUCUACCAAGUGACCUCAAAUUUACAUUAGAAGCAAACAAGGGCAAAAUGUUUUACAGAAAACAGUGGCUUUGUGUGGGCAGGCAUCAAAGCAGAGCGAGGGCUGUUUAUCAAAACUUCCAGUUUAUUCUCCUGCGAGUUGAGCGUUGCUGAGAAUUUUUAUCUCAACAGUGAUUAUCUGCCGUUGCCACUUUCUGCUCCUAAAAAUUUCUGGUUCUUGUCUACUCUUGCUGGACAAGUGUGCCUGUGCAGGACCAAAACCCUGAUAAUUUUAUUCUGAAUUGAGAAAAAAUGAAAGCUCUGGUUUGGCACAAUGUCUUUGUGAGGAGGACACACACAUUGCCCUGUGAAGUCCUUAGCAGUGCAGCCGGGACAACAAGGUUUUCAUAUACUCAUGCGUGAGGAAUGCAGCUCUCCAUGAAUUCAAUGGUGGGGCAGAUUUGUCUUUUGAGAUUAAAACUCUUACUAAUCUGCUGGGAGCAUAUGAUUUCAAAGAGUGUGUCUGACUACAAUGAAUGGCACUCCUGCAUGCUGAGCACUCCUGCUGCACGCUUCAGCAAAGCGCAUCUUGCAGACAUUUUUGUUGCUGUAAAUCACCCCAGAGUUAACAGAAGUCUGCCACAUAGCUGGUCACAGUCUAAAAGUUUCUUGAACAUAGAAGGACUUUUCUGGUUUGAGAAAGAUUCUUCAAGUUACAUUCUGGCCCCAUGGAUGUUAAUAGUUUUGUCAUCAAUUUCAGCAAGGCCAGAAUUUCAACCCUGUUGACUGAGGGAUAUCUGCAAAAAAAGGAAGUAUUUAACCAGUUACUGCUUAGA
ensembl:lncRNA